GAAUAUUGGUCAAUGGGCGAGAGCCUGAACCAGCCAAGUAGCGUGAAGGAUGACCGCCCUAUGGGUUGUAAACUUCUUUUAUAUGGGAAUAAAGGGUGCCACGUGUGGCAUUUUGUAUGUACCAUAUGAAUAAGGAUCGGCUAACUCCGUGCCAGCAGCCGCGGUAAUACGGAGGAUCCGAGCGUUAUCCGGAUUUAUUGGGUUUAAAGGGAGCGUAGAUGGAUGUUUAAGUCAGUUGUGAAAGUUUGCGGCUCAACCGUAAAAUUGCAGUUGAUACUGGAUAUCUUGAGUGCAGUUGAGGCAGGCGGAAUUCGUGGUGUAGCGGUGAAAUGCUUAGAUAUCACGAAGAACUCCGAUUGCGAAGGCAGCCUGCUAAGCUGCAACUGACAUUGAGGCUCGAAAGUGUGGGUAUCAAACAGGAUUAGAUACCCUGGUAGUCCACACGGUAAACGAUGAAUACUCGCUGUUUGCGAUAUACGGCAAGCGGCCAAGCGAAAGCGUUAAGUAUUCCACCUGGGGAGUACGCCGGCAACGGUGAAACUCAAAGGAAUUGACGGGGGCCCGCACAAGCGGAGGAACAUGUGGUUUAAUUCGAUGAUACGCGAGGAACCUUACCCGGGCUUAAAUUGCAGAUGAAUUACGGUGAAAGCCGUAAGCCGCAAGGCAUCUGUGAAGGUGCUGCAUGGUUGUCGUCAGCUCGUGCCGUGAGGUGUCGGCUUAAGUGCCAUAACGAGCGCAACCCUUGUUGUCAGUUACUAACAGGUUUUGCUGAGGACUCUGACAAGACUGCCAUCGUAAGAUGUGAGGAAGGUGGGGAUGACGUCAAAUCAGCACGGCCCUUACGUCCGGGGCUACACACGUGUUACAAUGGGGGGUACAGAGGGCCGCUACCACGCGAGUGGAUGCCAAUCCCCAAAACCUCUCUCAGUUCGGACUGGAGUCUGCAACCCGACUCCACGAAGCUGGAUUCGCUAGUAAUCGCGCAUCAGCCACGGCGCGGUGAAUACGUUCCCG
rnacentral:rRNA from 1 species